GACGAACGCUGGCGGCGGGCUUAACACAUGCAAGUCGAACGGAAAGGCCCUGCUUUUGUGGGGUGCUCGAGUGGCGAACGGGUGAGUAACACGUGAGUAACCUGCCCUUGACUUUGGGAUAACUUCAGGAAACUGGGGCUAAUACCGGAUAGGAGCUCCUGCUGCAUGGUGGGGGUUGGAAAGUUUCGGCGGUUGGGGAUGGACUCGCGGCUUAUCAGCUUGUUGGUGGGGUAGUGGCUUACCAAGGCUUUGAGGGGUAGCCGGCCUGAGAGGGUGACCGGCCACAUUGGGACUGAGAUACGACCCAGACUCCUACGGGAGGCAGCAGUGGGGAAUAUUGCACAAUGGGCGGAAGCCUGAUGCAGCAACGCCGCGUGCGGGAUGACGGCCUUCGGGUUGUAAACCGCUUUCGCCUGUGACGAAGCGUGAGUGACGGUAAUGGGUAAAGAAGCACCGGCUAACUACGUG
rnacentral:rRNA from 1 species